CACGUAGGGCGCAAGCGUUGUCCGGAAUUAUUGGGCGUAAAGAGCUCGUAGGUGGUUUGUUACGUCUGCUGUGAAAACCUAGGGCUUAACCCUGGGCUUGCAGUGGAUACGGGCAGACUAGAGGUAGGUAGGGGAGAAUGGAAUUCCUGGUGUAGCGGUGAAAUGCGCAGAUAUCAUUUGGAACGCCAAUGGUGAAAACAGCUCGCUGGGGGUGCACUGACACUGAGACACGAAAGCCAGGGGAGCGAACGGG
rnacentral:rRNA from 1 species